CACUGAACGUUGAGAACCUUCCGUACAAUCGCAAAACUUGCUGAAUGUGGGUGUUGUCACAAUCGGUAGUUAUUGUCUGCCAUAGACCAUCUGACUUGGAAACUGGAGUUUGCCACUUGAGUCUAGUUUAUCGUCACGCGUACCAAGCUGAGUUGCCGAGCAGGUUCUGAUGGCGACGCCACUCUGCGACACAUCCCAGACGUUCUGAUGUCUUCGACACAGGAGCCGCUCUCUGAUCAGAGCUCGGCAUCUGAGAGCCUCCAGCUGCGGAAGCAAUUUGGUUCGGGAGCGGUCACUUGAAGCAAAGGUGUCCAACAGCCCGUCCCAACCGGUGAUGUAUGUAUGGAGCCCAUUUGUUUCCCUGUCCACCAUGGGCACUGACAUCCCCACUAUUGAAGGGACCUACAGGGGUCGCUGCCU